GACGAACGCUGACGGCGUGCUUAACACAUGCAAGUCGAACGGUGAAGCGCCUUCCUUUUUGGUGGGUGUGGAUGAGUGGCGAACGGGUGAGUAACACGUGAGUAACCUGCCCCCUUCUUCUGGAUAACCGCAUGAAAGUGUGGCUAAUACGGGAUAUUCUGGGUCUGUCGCAUGAUGGGUCUGGGAAAGAUAUUGUUUCGGUGGGGGAUGGGCUCGCGGCCUAUCAGCUUGUUGGUGGGGUGAUGGCCUACCAAGGCGGUGACGGGUAGCCGGCCUGAGAGGGUGGACGGUCACACUGGCACUGAGACACGGCCCAGACUCCUACGGGAGGCAGCAGUGGGGAAUAUGGCACAAUGGGCGCAAGCCUGAUGCAGCGACGCCGCGUGAGGGAUGGAGGCCUUCGGGUUGUGAACCUCUUUCGCCAGUGAAGCAGGCCUGCCUCGUUUGUGGGUGGGUUGACGGUAGCUGGAUAAGAAGCGCCGGCUAACUACGUG
rnacentral:rRNA from 1 species